rnacentral:rRNA from 1 species
UACGUAGGUGGCAAGCGUUGUCCGGAUUUACUGGGCGUAAAGGGCGUGCAGGCGGUUUGUUAAGUCUAGGGUGAAAGCUCCCGGCUCAACUGGGAGAGGUCCUUGGAUACUGGCGAACUUGAGGGAUGCAGAGGAAAGUGGAAUUCCCGGUGUAGUGGUGAUAUGCGUAGAUAUCGGGAGGAACACCAGUGGCGAAGGCGACUUCCUGGCCUGUUCUUGACGCUGAGGCGCGAAAGCUAGGGGAGCAAACGGG